rnacentral:lncRNA from 10 species
CCUUAUUCUGAAUUAUUCAAUGCCAGGCUGCGACCAUGACAGAGACACCCAGACCUUCAAUCCCUUUGUUCAAGUCAGUAAGCCCCUUUCCACCAAGGAGAAGUUGGCUGCCACAUAAUAUUCACCGAGCCAUGGCUCCAGCUGCCCUGACAACUCCACCUAAGGGGAGACAGGCCAUCCUCCAACCCUGCCUGCAAGGACCACAGCUUGUGAGCUGCCUAAAGGUGCCACCUGCCCAGUUCUCAUCACAGGACUAAGCAGCUUCCCAGUGGCCCCAGCUCAACACUGAGCCAUAACCUUAGCUGAUUAUCCGUCCUCUUCUAAGAGACAUCCAAGGCCUUUUUCAUCACACUUCGCAUCCUCAAUUAUCUCAGGCACCAUAGGAAGUCCCAUCAUUAUAUGUUUUUUGCUUUUGUUUUGUAGAGAUGGGGUUUUGUCAUGUUGCCCAGGCUUGUCUCAAACUCUUGGACUCAAGUGAUCCACCUACCUCAGCCUCCCAAAGUGCUGGGAUUGCAGACGUGACCCACCAUGCCUCCAUCAUCAUAUGGACACUUAUUU